rnacentral:rRNA from 1 species
CCUGGUGACCAUAGCAAGUUGGCCCCACUCCUUCCCAUCCCGAACAGGANCAGGACCGUGAAACGACUUUGCGCCGAUGAUAGUGCGGAUUCCCGUGUGAAAGUAGGUCAUCGCCAGGC